GGGCCAGUAGUUCAAUUGGUAGAGCACCGGUCUCCAAAACCGGGUGUUGGGAGUUCGAGUCUCUCCUGGCCCGCCA
rnacentral:tRNA from 2 species